UACGGAAGGCAGCAGUGGGGAAUAUUGCACAAUGGGCGAAAGCCUGAUGCAGCUAUGCCGCGUGUAUGAAGAAGGCCUUAGGGUUGUAAAGUACUUUCAUCGGGGAGGAAAAACAAAACUAAUAAUUUUAUUUCUUGACGUUACCCGAAAAAGAAGCACCGGCUAACUCCGUGCCAGCAGCCGCGGUAAUACGGAGGGUGCUAGCGUUAAUCAGAAUUACUGGGCGUAAAGAGCACGUAGGUGGUUUUUUUAAGUCAGAUGUGAAAUCCCUGGGCUUAACCUAGGAACUGCAUUUUGAAACUGAAAUACUAGAGUAUCGUAGAGGGAGGUAGAAUUCUAGGUGUAGCGGUGAAAUGCGUAGAUAUCUGGAGGAAUACCUGUGGCGAAAGCGGCCUCCUAAACCGAAUACUGACACUGAGGUGCGAAAGCGUGGGGAGCAAACAGGGAUUAGAUACC
rnacentral:rRNA from 1 species